GACGAACGCUGGCGGCGUGCUUAACACAUGCAAGUCGAACGGAAAGGCCUAGCUUGCUGGGUACUCGAGUGGCGAACGGGUGAGUAACACGUGUGUGAUCUGCCCCUCACUUUGGGAUAAGCCUGGGAAACUGGGUCUAAUACCGGAUAUUCAUUUUUCCUCGCUUGGGGAUUUGUGGAAAGCUUUUGCGGUUGGGGAUGGGCCCGCGGCCUAUCAGCUUGUUGGGGGGGUAAUGGACUACCAAGGCAACGACGGGUAGCCGACCUGAGAGGGGAGUAGGCCCCGCCAGGAUUGGAAUGAGGCACAGCCUACUAUGGGACGCGGCGGUGGAGAAGAUUGUACAAGGGGAGCGAGGCUGGUGUGACGACGCCGCGUGGGGGAUGACGGCCUUGGGGUUGUAAACCUCAUUCAGCUUAGACGAAGCGAAAGUGACGGUAGGGGCAGAAGAAGCACCGGCCAACUACGUG
rnacentral:rRNA from 1 species